UCCUUCAGGGCUAUUCCUCACAACGUCGUCAGCUCACGAGCUAUCGGUGGACGUGGGGAGAGGAGAGAAGAUAAAGAUACACGUGAGCGCCUAGGGCUCCUCACACGGCUGGCUAAAACUAGGCAACGAUCUGUGCAGUGGAAUCGGGCAACCGACCGCUCGGUCGAGCCACAAGCCGCAAGCCGCGAAACAAGCCUAUGGACUGUUUCUAUAUUCGCACGCUGCUCCGUGCGCCCGCAGUUCGAUGUGACGUUCCCCAAGGUGCCCUGCGCCUGGCUGAGCCUGGACGCGAUGGACAUCAGCGGAGAGCUGCACCUUGAUCUGGUAGUUGAGCUUUACACAUUGUGGCGUUUGUGUGGGGGCGUUCGUUUGGGGGGGGGGGCGAGGGGGACAGGGAGGGGCGCUGCGGGGCUCACUGAAGGGAAGGGUGGCGGCAUCGGGGUCUUGUCUGUCUCCGUGUCCCGUUCACGUGUGUCCGGGUGCCAGCAGCUACGCCGUGUCUUGCCACGCCGUGUGUCUCUCUCGCGUCCCACACACGCCGCACUGCUCCCUGAGCCCGCCUAAAACAUGCUCCCACGCGCGCUUAUGCACCUGUCCGCCAAUGCACCGCACACCAACCCGCUUCGCACCACCCUUGCUGACCCCUUCCCCCAAACUCCCGCCACCACCACCACCACCACCACCACCACCACCACCACCACCACCACCACCACCACCACCACCACCACCACCACCACCACCACCACCGCCGCCACCCGCACUAGGACCACGACGUCUACAAGCAGCGCCUGAACGCCAACGGCUCGCCUGUGAAGGAGGUAGAAAAGCACAACGUCGACGCGACGAAGAAGAAGCCGCCCUCGGCCGUCAACGCCACCGCGUCUGCUGCCGCCGGCGGCGCACCUGCAGGCGGGGCGGCGGGGGCCGCGGGGGCCGAGGGCGGGGCCGCGGGCGGCGCCGGCGGCGGCGAGAACGCCACGGCGCUGGCGAACGGCUGCGGCAGCUGCUACGGCGCGGAGGACAAGCAGGGCGACUGCUGCAACACCUGCGACGAGGUGGGGCCGGGGGCGCUGUGUUAAAGAGCACAAGGAAAACAUAGCGCAAAGACAGUGUGGGGGCUGUGUGUGUAUGUGUGUGGGGGUGGGGUGUGGAGAGGUGGGUAGCCGCUUACAUGAAUAAGGGGGGGGAUCCAAACUUAUCCGACACCGAGGCCUGAGGGCUGUAGGGGAUGGGGAAGGGGCAGGGGGCGGAGUGCUCCGAGGCUGUGUUUGUGGGGGGCGCGGGGGGGUUGGCGUGCAUGGGGUGGGAUGCGGUAGGUACCAGGAUGGUGGGGGAGCGGCAGAAGGUUGUUGGGGAGGGGCACCAGCGGCACCCGAACGCGCAGCACGCCUGUCAACCAGCUGGUUGGCUGGUUUCCGGAGACCCGUGGCCGGAGGUCGGAGGCCGGAGGCCGCAGUCAGCAGUAGGCAGCAGAAGGCGUGGGGACAGGUGGUGGGUCGGACUGGGCUAGCCGUGCACCAUCCGCCCUGCACGGCUCCGGACUGGCUCUGAGGCGCAGGGGGUCAGGACCCUCGUGAACAGGUGCACAGCAGCGGCAGCAGCGGGGGCGGCGCGGCGCAUGCUGAUGACAGCGGCGGCGGCGGCGGCCGCAGCAAGAGGAGGCCGCCGGCGCCACAUGGGGCCGCGCACGUGGAUGGGGUGUUGAGCUCUGCACCACCGCUGCCGCAGCAGAGGGGGGAGCAGCGGUAGCAGCAGAAGCAGCAGCAGUAGCAGUGGCGGGGGCGGAAGCUCCAGCAGCAGCAGCAGCAGCAUCAGCCGUCUAGAGCGUCGGGAUGCACAACCGCGGCCGGCGUGUCGGGGCUGUCAUGCCGUGGGGCUGCACCGGGGCUGCAAGGGGCCAGGGCCAGGCCAGGACCGGGCCGGGCUGCCGGUGUGUGCCGGAGGCCGGAAGACGAGUCACCCAGACCGGCAGCACACAGCGGCGCCGGCGCCCGGGCGAUGCGGGCGGCCCCUCUGCGCGAGAGGGGCCAGCGCAGCAGGACGGCGGCGCGGGGGCGCGGGCGGCGCCGCCGUGACGCUGUGUCCGGGAGUCACACUGCAGCAGCAGCGGCAGCAGCAGCAGCAGCAGCCAGCCCCCGGUCGCAGCCAGUGGCGGCGGUCGCCGCUGCGGCCGUCACUGCAGCCGCCGCGGAGCUGCUACCUGGCAUCGCGUGGCCUGCUGUGUUUCGCGUGACCUGCCGCGGGGACAUUGCGGCGGUCCUGGAGGAGGGAGGGAGGCGGACAGGCUGGGGCAAACAAGUACACACAGCCCCCCACGGGCUGUGGGCAGCUUUGCGCGCCCAGCGCUCGGUGCUCGCUGCCACACACGGGAACCGCAGCUCGCAGCUUGGCAGCUCGCAGCCUUGCAGCCGCACUCGGCGCUCAGGAACGGUAGCUCGCAAAUGCCCGUGCGGCGCCGCUGGCAGCAGUGGCCGCUGCCGGGUCCCAGCGCCCCGCGCCCGCUUGAUUACUAAGCCCUCGCGGGAAUGCGGGAAGUAGCUUGACAGCCCCCACUCGCUGCCUCCGCCCACCCACCCAUUUACCUACCCACCCGCCCUCACCCGCCUCCCACUGCCUAACACUGCCUCGCACCGCCGCUCUCCCCUCAGGUGCGCGCCGCCUACCGGCGCAAGGGCUGGGCUCUGUCCAACGUGGACCACAUCGAGCAGUGCGCGCACGACCUGUACACGGAGGCCAUCAAGGAGCAGGCGGGGGAGGGCUGCCACAUGUGGGGCAUGCUGGAGGUGGGUGCGUGGCGUGUGUGUUUUUUUUGGGGGGGGAAAGGGGAGGAGAGGGGAGGGGAGGGGAGGGGAGGGGAGGGGAGGGGAGGGGAGGGGAGGGGAGGGGAGGGGAGGGGAGGGGAGGGGAGGGAAGGGGUAAAGUGGGGUAAAGUGGGGUAAAAGUGGGGUAGAAGUGGGGUGAGGAUGCGCAAGUGGGGCAGUGGCCCCAUGGGUAGGGUAAGGCGCAGGGAGGGGAGGGCGCGCGAGGAAGGGGUGGCGGUGGUAGUGAUGCGGGACGGACAGGGGAGACUGCGGGCCGGGAUGCGUAGGCGCAAUGACGCUGGGCGGUGUGUGGGUGCCCCGGGGUGGAGAUGCAGGGGUGGUGGGGGCAGCCGGAGGCCGGUGGUGGACACCCGCACAGCCAGUUGGUUGCGCGGCUGUGGUGUGUGUGCAGCGGGCACUGACGCUGAGGUGUGCACAGGCGCCUGGGGUGGCGGGGGUCGGUGCGAAGGCAUGGGAUGAGGUGGGAUGGGUCAGGCCCUCGCGGCCCCUGCAUCCGUCAUGCAUGGACGGCGCCCCAUCCCCGCGCCCUGCAGCCACUGCAAAGCUCCUACCCCCACCCCUCUCCUACACCUCCUCGCUCUAUAGCAUUGGCCUGGUAUCUACAACCUCCCCUCCAUCCCGCUCCACCCCAUCUCCCUCCCACCCGAUCCCACCCUCAACCCCUCUCCCCACCGUCUACCACUGCCUUGGCUCAUCAAUGCAAUCCCCCUGCGACUUCGUAAGUCACCUUCCUUAACUAAUCAUCCUUGCAACCCCCUUUUCACCCGCCCGCUAGGUGAACAAGGUGGCCGGCAAUUUCCACUUUGCGCCGGGGCGCUCCUACCAGCAGGGCUCCAUGCACGUGCACGACAUCGCGCCCUUCGGUGACGCCGUCAUUGACUUCCGCCACGUCAUCCACAAGCUGUCCUUCGGAGAGCCCUACCCGGGCAUGAAGAACCCGCUGGACGGCGCCAAGGCCGGGCAGGCCGCGGCGGCGGCGGCGGCGGCCACGGGCAUGUUCCAGUACUUUCUGAAGGUGGGGGAGGGGAGCUUGGGUGGGUGGGUCCCGCGCCUGCACCCCUUGCCCUCUCCCUGCCUCCCCAACUCCCUGCUUCCCAAACAUAAAUGCAGCCCCCCCUUUUGCAUGGGGUUUGGUUUAGUGUGGGCUGGUAUCUAUACCCCCCCACACACACACACACGACUACGUGACAUCUGUACCUUUGCUCCUGGCUACCCCUUCUCGUCAUUUAACAUGCAUGGAACCCGGUCUCCCCCCUGCAGGUGGUGCCCACCUCUUACACGGACCUCUCCAACAAAACCCUGUCCACCAACCAGUUCAGCGUCACCGAGAACUUCCGCGAGGCGCAGGGCGGCGCCGGCCGCACACUGCCCGGCGUGUUCUUCUUCUACGACCUCAGCCCCAUCAAGGUGCGUGCGCCUUGCCACGUGGGCGCCCCCGCCACCCCGCCAACCCCACCUGACCCAACACACCAUGUGCCCACCUGUUGCGCGCCCCAAACUCCACACCGCGCCACGCACCGGACGAAUGCACCCGCCGCAGCCGCCGCAGCCUUGCCGUCCCGCGUGGGCUGGUGUCCUGGGUCUUGGGUUGAGUUGGGAUUCAAAAUGGAGUCCCCACCGUCCCAACACACACACACACACACACACACACACACGCGCGCGCACACACACACACGCACACACACACACACGCACAUACCGCCGCCCUCCCCCACGAAUCCUGUUCGUUUCACCAAGAUCACCGUUACCAUAUUCUUAGCUGAUCAUGAUGAAUGUACCCCCCACCCCCACCCCAGGUCAAGAUUGUGGAGCACGGCAGCUCCUUCCUGUCCUUCCUGACCUCGGUGUGCGCCAUCGUGGGCGGCGUGUUCACGGUCAGCGGCAUCGUGGACGCCUUCGUGUACACCGGCACACGGAUGAUCAAGAAGAAGAUGGAGCUGGGCAAGUUCUCUUAAGUGCAUAGAGCUAGGGAAGUUCCCUUAAGAAGAUGGAGCUCGGGAAGUUCUUUUAAAAAGAUGGAGCUGGGCAAGGUCCCUUAGGAGGAGGCGCAGCAGCGGACACAUUCCUGAGCCCGUGUGGUCGAGGGGCGGGGCCGAUCGCGCUUCUGCGUGGGUGUGAAAGCUCGGGCGGGUGGGCUGCAAGGGUGGAAGGGCGGCGUGGGAAAGCUGUGGUGGCGGACGGGCGGGCGGAUGGGGAAGGUGGGAGGAGGCGCGGGGGCUACCGGUAGCUGCCUGGCAGCCCAGUCGGAGGCUGGCGAGGUGGAAGCCACCCGGCAGUCAUGCGGGGUGGUGUGGCGGAGGCGGGUGGCAUGCAGGCUUGUGAGGGUGAGGGACCGCACGGCUGGUGGCAUGCCCGGGACAUGCACAGCACAGAUGCGCGGGUGGCGUUGCGCAAGCAGGUUGGGGGUUUAGCCUCAACACGUUGAGUGCGAGUUGUGGGGCAUGCUGAGCAUGAGCAGCUAACGGUUCUGAGCCCUGGGGAUGGGGCAAGAAUGAAACACCGGACCAACGGCAGCAGGCGUGUGAAUGAGUUGGAUCAUAGGGAGGAGGCUGGUGAAGUGGAUCCGGUCACGGUCGCAAUCGGGCUGGUCCGCUGGAGUGUCGACGCCGCGCGGCAAGGGCGUGCGGGCAGUUGCGGGCCGUGGUCGCAAUGCGGCGGGGCGGCGGGCACCGCUUGCUGCGGUGUGAGUAAUGAGUGAGUAAACGAGGACAGCGCGAGGACGAUUCGACGAAUUGUAGCAGGACACCUGGUGAAAGGACUGAAGGAUGAUUAGCCGGGGACUGCUUGCGGGGGUAUCGUGGGGGACUGGGGGUUUGCAGGGGUUGUGCGCCGUUGACCUGCCACGCGCAUAUUGGCAUACGGUGGUGUAAGGGUCCGGCCGUACGUCCAGCUGCCCCACCAAGCGAUUCGUGACUACAGCCGUGAGGAGCGCCUCAGGGUGCUGGGUGCGGCGUGUUGGCGCCUUGGCGGUCAUGUUGAGGGUCACAGGCUCACAGCCCGGAGUGUGAGGAAUGCGCAUCAGCAAACUUCCAGCCAGCCAGCAACUUGUCGGCACCGUAACUCCGGCGUUCGACCAGCCAUGCACUUCUGCUCUGCCGCUGCAAACUGUUUGCCGUCUGCUUGGGGUAUGGGCGUCAGCUGCACCCUACGGGACCUCGCCAACCUGCCUAAACCCUGUCCCAUCACACGCGCAGCGACCGCUCCAGUCCAGGCCUCCGGGACGCCACGCCACGCCAUCCACACCACCUGUUCCCCAGCAUCUGUUACAUCCGCAGUGCGUGGGUCCGGCCCCCCCCCCUCCCUCCUGCCUCCUGCCCCUACCGCAGCCACCCAGCUAGCCAGCAGCUCCCGCCACACAUCCGCCAAGGAUUCGCCACACACACACACUCCCACCAGACGCCAGCACACCUCUGCGAUUCAGCCAGCCAAAACACGUCAGAUGGGUGCUGUACAUCGCCUUACCCCCUUCCCUGAUCACCGCCAGCCAGGUUCGCACCUGACCCCCCACCUCCCAUGCACUCCUGAGCCAUGCCCCCAGAUACAGCACCGCGUCCCCACCUGACCUCCCCACCUGACCUCCCCACCUGACCUCCCCACCUCCGGUCCCACACCCACACCCGCCGCCACCCAGCUUACGCCGGCAGGCGGCGCCGCCCCCCUCUCGUCCCCACAGCCGCCGCCUUGCCCGCCGCCGCCCCCGCCGCUGCCGCCCCCGCCCCAUUCGUCUCCGCCACCUCCUCCUUCACCUCCGCCUCCGCCUCCCCCUCCUUCGGCCCUGCCCCUGCCGCCCCUGCUCCUGCCGCCUCCGCUGCUGCUCCCGCUGCUGCUGCCGCCGCCGCCGCCUGCUGCCCCAGCAGGUCUGGCGAGCGGUCUGUGGCGAUGCAGUGCAUGGCCAGGAUCUCGGACGUAGCGGCGCGUGCCUUGGCCGUGUCCAACACCACCUGGGGAUAGCAGAGGUGGCGGGUGGAUGAAUGGGGUCGGGUGGGUGGUUAGUUAGUUAGGCGGGUUGAGGGGAGAGAAGUGGAACCGCCGGGUACAGCAGCGCGCGAGUUGGGAUGGGCGGGGACAAGGCAGGGCGUCCGGUCGCAGGCGCUGCUCCACGCUCUGCCUCUGGCACCCUCCGCAGCUACCCAACCCCCUUCCUCAUAUGCUUUGUCCCUUUUCCUACAGUGGGGCCCCGACAGCCACUGCCGUCCUCCCCUCCCCUCAGCCCUCCCCUCAGCCCUGCCCUCCCCACCUUCUGGUUGUACUCGAGGUCCAGCACCAGGAAGGGCUGGUCGCAGGCGUCCACCCGCGCCACCAGCUCGGCCAGGGUGGUGAUGCGGCCGCCGUUGAGCGACACAACCUGAGGAGCAGGAGGAGGAGGAGGAGCAGGAGGAGGAGGAGCAGGAGGAGGCAGAGGGACACAACACACACAGGAGUAAGGGCCGGGAGGAGGUGUGUGUGUGCUGGGGCGGGUUUGUACAUACCGGCCCAACCUGGUAGGGGGGAUGGAACGGCCAGGAGGCGGCGGAGGCGGCGGCGGCGGCAGAGGGACACAACACAUAUACAACAUGCAACCCAGAGGGGCGGGGGCGGUUGAGGGGUGGUGGGGGCGGCGAACGCCUUGAGCCCCGGGCCCACUUCCUCAAGUCUGGCGCUUGCGGGCGCUCGCGUGCAAUAGCGGGCGUGCGACCAAGCCCACCCACCCCCCCACACCCGCACAUCCGCACCCACCCAUCCCCUGCGUCCUUGCAGCCACACGCCCCCGCGCCCCAUUCCCCCAGCCUUCCCCCACACAGUCCUCCCGCGCCCCGCCCGCCCGCCCGCCCUCCCACCUGUGUGUUGCAGAUGUCCUCGUAGCCCAGGUUCACCUCCGCCGCCAGCACCUGGCUCAGGACCACCACCUGCGCGGGAGGAGGAGGAGCCGGCCAGCGGCGAGUGCGGGUAAGUGCGUGCGGGCGUGCGGGCGUGCGAGUAAGUGUGGCCAGGAGUAUAAGUCAAGAGCUGUGAUUAGGAUUAGCGCAGAAGAAAGCUUGGGCCCAGCAGGGGAGCUGGCAGUGGCGUGGGUGCGGGCGUGCGGGCGAGUGAGUGAGUGAAGUGGGUCAGGAGUAGCGCGCGGUUUGCGCGAGGUUCCAGCCCUCAAGACAAUGCGCCUCGCCACAGCUUGUUCCCCCCCUCCCCGCAUCCCAUUCCACCGUAAGGCCCCAAUCCGCCCCCGACCUCUGCCGCCCGUGCAGUCUCCAGUACAUCCUGUACCGCUUUACCAACCAUCCUUGCAACCCCCCUCCGCCCCCACGCCACGCCACGCCACGCCCCCCCCCAAAAAACCGGCCACCCCCCUUCCCCCAGCCAGCACCUGCUCCUCCUUGUGCUGCGCCAUGCCGUGCAUCAUCUUCUCCAGCAGCUUCACGGGCGCGUCAAAGUCGUACUCCUUGCCGUACUCGGAGCGCAGGUACGGCACCGUAACCGCCGUGAACACCAGGCCUGUGGGGCACGUGGGGCCAGCCACGUGGGGACGGGUGUUCGUGGGGGGUGGAGGUUGUACGGGAGUGUACAGCAGCGGCACACGGGCGCAUGUGAUGUUCGUGUGCGGUGUGUGUGUGUGUGUGUGUGUGGUGUGUGUGUGGUGUGUGUGUGUGUGUGUGUGUGUGUGUGUGUGUGUGUGUGUGUGUGUGUGUGUGUGUGUGUGUGUGUGUGUGUGUGUGUGGUUAAGGGUGGUUGAGCGCGGCGGUGCCGGCGGGGAGGGUGGCUGGCUGCACGCACGCAGGCAGCAUCCGGUGAUUCGCCUCAAGAGGCGCGCGCGUCUUCGCGCGGUGAACUUCGGCGUCCGCAAAACCCCUGCCACGGCUCCGCGCGCUGUCCCACGCUCCCCCCUGCCCCUAGUGCCCCCCCCCCGUGCCCCCAAGAGCCCCCUGCCCUUCCCCCCCCCCUCACCCGCCACGAUGAAGUAGGAGGGCGGCAGGCCGCGUGUGUGGAAGGGCACCAGCCGCACUGGCGCGCCCAGGCCCACACGCAGCGUCCGCUGCACCCCGUCCUGUGCGUGGGAGAGAGUGUGUGUUGAAGUUUGGGAGCGUGUGUGUGUGAGGAUGUGUGUGUGUGUGUGUGCGCGCGCGUACGACAGAGGGCAGUGUGUACUGAGGCGGUGGCGAGGCAUCCGCCCGCCCACCCACGCACGCACCCACCCACCCACCCACCCUACCCCACCCCACCACCCCACCCACCCACCCACCCACCCACCCACCCACCUACCCUAUCCACCACCCCACCACCCCCUGUCUCACCUGCAGCACCACCCCCCUCCCCCCUGUCUCACCUGCAGCACCACACCACCCCAUCCCCCCCUGUGUCUCACCUGCAGCACCACCCACACCACCCCCUUUAUCUCACCUGCAGCACCACCAGCUCCGCCUCCUCGUCCGUGUACUUGUUGCUCACCUGGGUGCCAAGUGGGGAGGAUGGGGGGGGGGAGAUGAGGGAUAACUUUGAACCAAUCCCGUAAGGAAACAGUCGCGCUGCAAGGAGAAACUGCAGCCGCAUAUGCGAGCUGAGGGAGCGACACCCAAAGCUGCCACCCAUCGCCGCCCCGCCUAGCCCACCUCGAAACCAUGCAGACCUCAUCCCCAAUACCGCCAAUCGCCUUCCCAGCCCUUUCCCCUCCCUCUUCCUCUUCCUCUUCCUCUCCCCCUCCCCCUCCCCUCCCCUCCCCUCUCCCUCUCCCCCUCCCGCCCCCCUCCCUCCUGCCGCCCAACCCACCAGGUAGGAGAAGGAGAUGCGCUCGCCGGAGCGGAAGGGCACGGUGCCGUCGUUGGCGAUGGCGAUGCCGUCGAAGCUCAUGAGCACGUCGUUCUGACGCAGCACGGCGGAGCAGGCCGAUGUGGGCUCAACGCGCCGGAUCAACACGCCCUUCUGGUCCGCCUGCAGGGGAGGGGGGGGGGGUUACAUUCAUGAUGAGUUAAGGGGAGGGGGGUUACAGUCAUGAUUAGCUAAGAAAAGAGGGGGCGGGAAGGGAAAGGAGGGGGAAGACCUUAAGGGGAAUGGGAAAUGACUGUGUGUCCUAGGGGUCUGUUGAUGUAGGACGGCGCUGUAGUUCACGCGCCGUCACCCGCCGCACACUCACACAUUUAAACGCGCUACAAUCACACAUGCACACACACAUACACUCUUUGCGCAAUGUUUUCCUUGUGCUCUUUAACACACAUACACUCUGGGCGGACUUUCGUUUCUGAACCCCUGCCCCGCACAACACCCAGCCCCCUCCGCCCCCCCCCCCACACGCACCCGCGCACACGCACCCACCUUCAUCUUGAGCACGGUCCUGAGGUCCGGGUUCUCAAGCUUCUGCCACUCCACGCCCAGGCAGGGGAAGCCGGUGUAGGCGCCGUGCCGCUCGAAGUCGGUGAGGAAGUGGUGGAUGACGGGGGUGGGGAUGAUGUAGCCUGGCGGGUGUGGUGGGGGUGGGGUUACAUUCAUGAUUAGUUAAGUGGUAGACGGUAGACCAUGGGGUGGGGUGGGGUUGCAAAGAUGGUUGGAGAAGCGGCACAGGAUUCAUUUGAAGACUGCAGACAAAGUCGUCACCAAAAGAUCGGACGAAGGGAUGUGGGAGUGGGAUUGGGGUUCGCGGGUGUGGGUGUCGGGGUGGCAGGGGCAGUUGAGUACACGGAGACGAGAGCCGUGUGUUAUGGCAGAUUGCUUGGGCGGAGUGCGACCGCAGAUCACAACGGUUGACCACGUAAACCCUCUACACAUACACAGUCUCGCUCUGUACCCCCCCCCCCUGCCUCACCGAUGUUCUCGGCGUCCUCAUGCUGCGGGGCAUGCGGAGCAGGCAGCAGCGGCACACACACAUGGAUCAGUUCCUUGACUUAGCGAGUGAUAGUAGAUACCGGUACCAAAAGUCUGGGAGCGGAAUGCAGAUGGCCUCGCAACCAGAACGCAACCCAAAACCUCCAAAUACUCAACAAUCAAGACGCGUACAUCCACCACAGCCACCAGAAAGUGCUAAGACAUGCCUAGACAUUGUUUGUUUGUUUGUUUGCUAAACGCCGCACCUUGAGCGACUGGAAGGCAAUGCCCACGCACUGCCCGUCGUCGUUGAACGCGGGGCCGCCGCUGUUGCCGCUGUUGAUCUGGGGGGUUAGCGGCCGGGAUGCGGGCGCGAGGGCGGGGGUUACAUUCAUGAUUAGUUAAGGAAGUGGUAGACGGUAGACCAUCUUGCGGAACAUGAAGCGUUACGGGGGGGGGGAAAGUUUGUUCCAGCAAUCCCAAGUAAGGCGCAGCACCAAGAGGAGGGAAGAACGAGGAAAGCAGAAGCACGGUCAGCAAAUGGCGGUGUGUGUGUGUGUGCGUGUGUGUGUGUGUGUGUGUGUGUGUGUGCACGUGUACGGUCGACCUGUACGGCGGCCCUGCCUGCGCCCGCUGACAGACAGCGGGACGCCUGCGCCUGCCUGCUUGUGCCCUCCCCUCCCCUCCCCUCCCCUCCCCUCCCCUCCCCUCCCCUCCCCUCCCCUCCCCUCCUCCUCCCCUUCUCUCACCGCCGCAUCAAUCUGUAUCCCCAGCAGCUCGCUGCUGCCGUGCAUGUAGGAGGUGACCUCGAUGCGGCUCACCACACCGCUGGUCACUGACAUGGUGUCGCCGCCUGCGGACAAGGCAGCGCAGGGCAACGCAGGGGAAGCGGCAGCGGCAGUAGUUGUGGCAGCAGCAGCGGAGUCAGUGGUGGCAUCGGUCAGCGGCAGCAGCAGUGCAGGAUGCAGGUGCGUUUGUGGACGGCAGCACCCAGCACCGGGGGCAGCGUUGUCAGCAGCAGCGCUGUCAGCAGCAGCGCUGUCGGUGGGGGCAGUGCGACGGAUCUGGCGAUACCGAGACCGCCGUAGCUGGCUCGUGCGUGCAUGUGUGUGUGUGUGUGUGUGUGUGUGUGUGUGUGUGUGUGUGUGUGUGUGUGUGUGUGUGUGCGUGCUCGUGCCACUCAGCAGGGCGCCACCCUCCUCCCUUGUGCAAUGUGCCUGGAUCUGGUCUCUGCAAUUCUGCGAAGCCCCCUUUAGCCCUUCCCGUGUUCACCCGUCUCCCCAGGGGGCUCACCAAUGGGGUAGCCAACCACCGUCUGUGGUUAUGCCGGAGGUGACGAGCAGCGGCAGCGGCGGCAGCAACAGCAACAGCGGCAGCGGGAGAGGGAGGGGAGUUGCGAGGUCAGGUCCGACUACAACUGGCAACCGCUCACGUCACACUCCGCGGCCGCGCCCCAGCCCGCCACCGUGCCCCGGCCCGUGCCCUUCUUGUCUUGCCGCCUGCUCCGCAUUACUACCCUCCGCUCCCGCCUGCCACCCUCUGCCCCCGCCGCUCCACUCCCUUAACCCCUGCUCCCCCUCCCCCUCCCGCCAACCCCUCCCGCCCACCCCUCCCGCCCACCCCUCCCCCUCCCCCUCUCACCACCGCGUCCUGCAGCUGCGGCAGGGUGCCAAACUCCACUGGCUCCACACCCUCCCAGAACUUGUCGUCCUCCACAGUCAGCAGCGCUGGUGUGUGUGUGUGUGUGUGUGGGGUGGGGGUGGGGUGGGGUGGGUAGCAGGGGCGGGUGGGUGGCGGGUGACGGGAGUGGAGUGGGAGUGGGGGUGAGGGAGUGGGAGGCACGGGGCUGUGCGUGUGGGUGGGUGUUGGGGUGAACGGAGCGGGUGACGCUGCGUUGCAUGGCGUGCGGGAGGGCGGGAGAGGAGACAUGCUUGGGCUGUGAGGUCAGGGCGCGGUGGCAAGAAGGCACAGAAGGGCGGCCAGCGGGGCCGGCUGCACCACGCGCAGCGCAGCUGCCUCCAGCACCACGCCACGCCACGCCCCAUCCCUCACCCCCAACCCCCCCCAUCCCCACACCGCCACCCCCACAGCUCGCUCACCAAUGUCGCACUCGGUCCCCACGCUGAGAACAGUGGCCAUGAACUUGACGUCACUGCCGCGCCGCUUCACCUUGACCUGGCAGGAGGGAGGGAGAGAAAGAGGCGGAGGAAGAGAGAGAGCAGGGGGAAGAGUUGGGAGGGAGGGGGGACCAGUUGUGGGGACCAGUGGAGAAGAAGAAAGCGAGCACCCCAGUCGCACCCGCACCCCCACCCAAAUAUACACACACACACACACACACACAAUAAUUCUGCAUCGCAUACACUGUCCUACGCGUAAUGUUUUCCUUGUGCUCUUUAACACACACACACACACACACUCCUUGUCCCUCUCUCCUCCCCCCACCUGCGUGUAGUGGUCCACGCAGUGUGCGUUGGUGAGGAUGCGGCGGCCUGGCAGCAGGAAGCCGCUGCUGUUGCUGCUGUACUGCCGCUUGCGCUGCCAGGGGAGAGAGAAGUUGGGCUCUGCGCGGGGGAGGAGCGGGCGGCGGGGAAGGAAGACAGCUUUCGUUGAAACAGAAGCAAUAGACGUUGCUAAUGGUCUUCCUGGGGCGAAGGGCGGCAAAGGACGGAAAGGCAGCGGCGAAAGGGGCGGAGGAGGCGGGAGGGAGAAGGGGAUGGUGGUCGCCCCGAAACCUACCCGCCUAUGCUGAGAGUGAGAGGCAGGGGGGCAGUUGCGGGCGCCAGCCUGUGCUGCGUCAAGACCGCAACCCUGCCCGUCACAUCCCGCCCCGCGCUUGAUUGAUGCACCCCGGCCGGCCCCCACUUUUCCCCUUGAUGAUGGGACUGAUUCGUUAGCCUUACGCAUAUAAUCUCCCCUCCCCAAACCCCAUCCCCACACGCUAUGCCGCCACUCACCCACGUGCAUGCAGAACACCUUCACAACCGCGUCCAUCACGCUGUCGCUGUCCGCCGAGCCGCCGCCGCCGCCCGACCUCCGCCCCCGCCCACCGCGCCCGCCGCCGCCGCCACUCGCCGCCGCCGCCGCCGCGCCGCUAGGCGGCUUUGGCGGCAGCCCGCUCGCCGUAGCGCCCAGCGCCACGUCGGCCUCCGCAGCCGUACUGCCGGCGCCGCCGUACUUGCGGCGCGCGUUGCGGCGCUUGGCGUCGGCAGCGCCGCCGCCGCCGGGGCCGUCGGCGGCGUCGGCGGCGCCGCCGGCGGCGGCGAGCGGCGCGUCUGCAGUCUGGUUGCGGGCGCGGGUACGUGGCGAGGUGGGUCGCGGGUCCUCCUCUAUGGCGACGGCGCCGUUCUCCGAGCCGGAGGGCGCAGUGGCGGCCUUUGUGGAAGGAGCGGGGGGGAGAGAUCGUUGGAGCGGGGCGGCGUGGGUGGGUUGGGGGUGGGUGCGGUGGUGGGGAAGGGGGGCGGCAAGAUGGGGGGAGGCGGGUGAGUGGGCUGUGAGUGCGCGCGGCGCCCGGCGAGGCACUCGCACGAACCUCGCCCUCCCGGCUGCAAUUGCGCGUGUUUCAUCCUACUUACAGCUACAUUUCGUGUCGAGGUGCAUUUGCAACGUGUGCGAAGGGUUGGGCCGCUCGGCCGCCGUGGCUGCUGACACGCCCCUCAAGUCACAAUUCUGGACCCAGACACCGAACCCUGCCCAAUUCACCUUUGCAUCCUCCACCACGGCAGCCUCAGCUUUCACCUUCUUCCUCGGCGGCAUUGAAAGCUAAGAGAAGUAAAGGACGGGUUUUGCUCUUGAAUUGAUCUAUGCUUGGAAGCCAAGUUUAGUCGUUAUGCUAGGCACGAUGAGUUUCCCUUUGUAUUGUCGUCUUCUCUAGCCCGUUGGAAAGACAAAACGGCGCGGCGUUAAGCUUUCGCGGGAUCGGAAGCAGGCGACCAUCGCGAGGUUUGUCCAAAGGGCAAACUGUUACAGUUAAUCUUACGCCACAGUGCACCAAACGCCAAGUAUACCUGAGGCAGGCAUUCAGAGACUGUAUGCGCACGCGCACAACACCUGUCUGCAAUCUCUUUGUCGUCAAGCUUCUUCCUUGCCACCCAUAGGGGCUACGCGGAUGCAGUAUUAACCAAUAGAGAUACUCCGCACCCUUGGUCCAUCUAGGGACUAGCUUGCAAAGAUGUCAGAGCUUGAGCUUGAGGAGGUGGAGCGGAGCCUGCGGAACGCCAAGGGCGUGCCAGCCGCGGACAAGCUCAUCAAAUACCUCCGUCUAGUGAGUCGGUGUGGGACUACAGAUCAGCAGGGCCUUGCGCGACGACUGUCGCCGCGCGGGAGCGGGCUAGUCCGGUGCGCGGGGUUGGCGCGCACGCACGCCUUGCCGGCACCCUCGCCGCAUGCGCCCCACGAGAUUACCAUAUGCAGCCAUGCACCCGCAUAAGAAGGGGGUGUGCUGGGUGGCGGCCUGGCUUGCCGGGGGAUGGGCUGCUGGGCGAUAAUGAAUUCUGGGGACUACUGCGCGGGAUUGCUGGUGGGCAUGGAGUCCUGGCCUCAGCCAGCUACGCCGCUAGCCAGGCGCUACCGCGCAUGACCACACGUGCUACGGAGCAGCACCAAUAGCAACAACAGCAGCAGCAUGCGAGCUGCAUCCGGGCUGCAUGCCGUCGGGGAGCGGCAUGUGGCGGAAUGCGCACAGCGCCGCGGGCUCCCCGCUACGCCGAACCACCAACUGCAACUUGACAAACACCAGCCGCAACUUGACACCCGGCUACCUGCAACCUCUUUACUCGCCGCGCACACACAGACGCUCCGCACACACACUCAGCCCCACCAAACCCCUCCCUGCCCCUGCCCCUGCCCCUGCCCCUCCCCACCAAACCCCCGCCCCCGCCUCCCAGGUGCGGGAGCUGCACGUGCGUGACUCGCCCACCGUGGCGCGCUACGGCAACAUCCUUCUGCGCCACUACAAGUCGCACCUGUCGGAGGAGGAGCGUGAGUGCUGGCGUCGGGCGGGCUGCGGGCCUCCGGGGGGCGCUUGUAUGUGGUGUGUGUGUGUGUGUGUGGGCGGGGGGGGGGGGGUGGGGGGGGAGAGGCCGUGCAGGCCCUGUGCCGCAGGCGGGCUGCGUGCGAGCGAGUCGGGCGCAAGGCUGCAAGGGGCGCAGCCGGGCGCAGGGGCUCUCCACAGCUAAGACCUACAGAUAUAGACACAGUCCGCGCAAGCGCGGGUGGUGUCCGUUCAAGCCGUAGGGCUACAGACACAGUCACGCGGGCUCCCCUGGCUGAGCGGGGGAAAGCGGUGCUGGGGGCGGCAGGAGGCGGCAGGCUGGGUUAACCACCAACGGCUUUGCCGGGCUGGCAGAGGUCUGGGGCCGCGGCUGCGGCUGCGCCACCAGCGCCAAACAGGGGGUGAUGGGAUCCUGAAGGAAUGGUUGCGAUCUGGCUCCCGUCGACGAGCGGCGCAACAAGCACACGACUUAUGACGCCGCUCCUGCUCGCUUUGCCCCCGCGCCCCCACCCCCACCCCCACCCCCACUCCAAACCUGUGAUCUGAUCACUUCGCCCGCCCCCUCCGCUUUCCGCCCGCCCCCCACCCCCCACCCCCCAGUGUGGCUGGUGCACGAGCAGGUGGCGGUGGCGGCGCUGGACGCACACGCGCUGCCCUUCGCCGCCUCCGUCAUCAAGGCCAUCAACAGGCGCUUCCCGGACAGCGUGCGCGCCAGAAGGCUGCAGGUGCGGCGGGCAGGCCGGCGGGGGCUGUGGGUUUCAAUAUGCAUCGGGGGGGGGGGUUGUAGAUACCAGCCCAUACUAAACCAAACCCAAUGCAAUAGAGCGAGGGGGGGUAAGGAGCUGUGGAAGUCCUUUCCAACCUUUGCAGAAACCGAGACCGGGAGGGCUGGAAGGAGCGCCGGGCAGGGGUGCUGGGCAGCGCCGGGCAGGGGUGCUGGGCAGCACGCCGCUGCCAUCGCUUUCCUGGCUCGGCCCUCUCACAUUCUCACUGCGACUGAACCAUGCCAUGCAAACUUAUGCCCCUGUGCCUAUGUGCCUGCCUGGAACUGCAACUGCAACCGCCACUGCCUGCAACUGCCGUGCCCGCAAAGUGCUUGCCUGCAACUGCCAUGCCUGCCUCCAACUUCUUGCCUGCCACUGCCACUGCCUGAAGCUGCCGUGCCACCCUCUUCCCCGGCCCCCCGGGUGCAGGGCAUGUACUUUGAGGCUGCGGGCGACUUCCCGCGCGCAGAGGAGAUGUACCGCGACGUGCUGGCCACACACCCAAACAACGAGAUGGCGCUCAAGCGCAUGGUGCGUGCGUUCGUGGCGCGACACACCCCGUGACACGGAAGGCCGGCAGGCUGGCCCCCUGCGGGGGUGUCUUAUUAGGGGAAAUAAUUAGCGGGUUCCGUACCGUAUGUGUGUCUGUGUAUGUGCGUGUGUUUAAAAGCGAAACGGAAGCCCGCCCAGACGACGCCGGAGUUACGUACGUAUGUGUCCCGCGCGCGAGCAGGUGUCUCUGGAGCGCAGCCGCGGCAACCCCGCCGCCGCCAUCGAGGCGCUGCGGCGCUACCUGGACACCUUUGGCAACGACAAGGACGGCUGGGAGGAGCUGGCGGAGCUGUACCUGGAGGUGUGUGUGGUGGUGGUGGGGGGGGGAGGAGCUGGCGGAGCUGUACCUGGAGGUGUGUGUGUGUGUGUGGUGGGGGGGGGAGGAGCUGGCGGAGCUGUACCUGGAGGUGUGUGUGUGUGUGUGGUGGGGGGGGGGAGGAGCUGGCGGAGCUGUACCUGGAGGUGUGUGUGGUGGUGGUGGGGGGGGGAGGAGCUGGCGGAGCUGUACCUGGAGGUGUGUGUGUGUGUGGUGGGGGGGGGAGGAGCUGGCGGAGCUGUACCUGGAGGUGUGUGUGGUGGUGGUGGGGGGGGAGGAGCUGGCGGAGCUGUACCUGGAGGUGUGUGUGGUGGUGGUGGUGGGGGGGGUUGGCUGGAGUGGCAGGGGCGGGGGCGGGGGCCGGGGGGCAGGGGCGAAGCUGUACCUGCAGGUGGGGUGGAGGGGGGCUGGCAGGGGCGGGGCUGUACCUGGAGGUGCGAGGGCGGGUAUGUGCCCGAGCCCAACAAAAUAGGAGCGGGGGGGAGGGUGGCAGGUCGGAGCUGUACCUGGAGCGGGGCAGGGGAUGGGCCGGGGGGCAGGGGCCGGGUUCGGGUUGGCCUAUCCCAAUUCUAACUGAGUCGAAAGCAGGGCAGGGGGGCAGGGGGCUACGAAAGCCAAGCCCAGGGUAGGGCGGGUUGGAGUGUGGAAUCUAUGGAUAGGCCAGGGUCUAGGCCAGGCAAGGGUGGGGUGUGGGGUCAUGUGCAAGGGCCAGUGGAAAGGCUGGGGAAGAGCCUGAGAGCGACACACCCGGGGUGCUGGUUCAGACAUGUGUCGUUUCAAUCCAUAACCUUGCCCCUCACCACCCUCCGUCCACUUCCGCCCUCCCUCACCCCCUCACCCCCUCGGCUAGUUUGGUAUGGUUUAAUUUGGGCUGGUAUUUACAACCCCUCCGCCCGUCCCUCUCUCUGCCGCCCCCCCCCCCUGGACUUCACGGACAUCGGUAACAACGCGUCUACUAUGCUACUGUACCUGCCUACGCCUUCACUUCUUAAGUAAUCAUGAAUGUAACCCCCCCCCCCACCCCAUCAGGUGCUCAACUACCGCCAGGCAGCCUACUGCUACGAGGAGCUGAUCAUGAUGAACCCCGGCAACAGCUCCUUCUACACGCGGUACGCAGACGUGCUGUACACCAUCGGCGGAGCCACAAACUACAAGUGAGGCGGGCGCGGCGCGCGCGCGCGCGGGGCAUGGGCGGGGAAUAUGGGGUUGGCCAUGGGAUGUGUGGCGGAGGAUGGAGGGAUGAGUGCAUACCUGAAAGGAUUGGUGUGGGGUCAUAGUGGUGUGGGCUCUAAGCGUGUGCUUACCGGCGGCACUUAGGGGUACGAGUCCGCGCCGGACGCGCACUCCCCGCCACUGCCCGCCCCGCGCGGUGGCAUGGAUGGACGCUCCACGCGUGCCAAACCCGCGCCUACCACCUGGCAAACCUCCUGCCCCCCAUUCUCCUCCACAUCUCCCACAACCGCAACAACCCCCCCACCGCCCCAAAUGCAACCCCCCUGCCCCCUGCGUGCAAAGAACGCCUUUGCCUGUGCUCCGCUAGUUAGGCUUGCUAUGGUUUAGUUUGCGCUUGUACUUCCAACCCCCAACCCCCGCUGCCUACUUCGCUACGCUUCUCUGCACCAAUCUUUGCAACCCCCCCCCCCCCGCUGCCCCUAGGACCGCGCGCUCCUACUACGCCAAGGCCAUUGAGCUGACUGCGGGCGGCUCUCUGCGCGCGCUGUUCGGCGUGUUGGCCUGCGCCGCACACAUCACCGACAAGGUGGGGGCGGGGGCAGACGAGGUGACGGCGUGUGGGGCCGGGUGGUGACUGUGGGUGGGGUUAGCGUUGAACCUAGCCCGUAAGGAAACAGUUGUUUCGCGCGGCAAGGAGAACUGCAGCUGCAUAAGCGAGUCGUUGUACAUCACGUGUGGGUGGGGGCGGGUGGCGCGGGCAGGCAGAUGGCGGGUGGUGGAGUCACAGUGCUCGGUGUGUGGCUGCAUGAGACGCACGCAAAAGUAUGCAAAGCGACCUGGAUGCUUUCAACACUCGGCCACUGGUGCUCCUUCGUACCUCACGCCUCCUCCCACUUCUAAGGCCAUCGUGUGACUGCGGCACCUCGCCUCCACUCCACCCCCUCCACCUCCACCCCUGCCCCGACCUCCAUUCCACCUCCACCCCGUCCCCCCUCCUCCCCGCCACCCCUUCUCCCCGCCACCCCUUCUCCCCGCCACCCCUCCUCCCCGCCACCCCUCUUUUGCACUGGGCUUGGUCUAGUUUGGGGUGGUGAUUACACCCCACCCACCCCGAUUCUGUGACUCCGUCCUGCUCAUAUACGGCUACCCCUCCCCCUCGUUCCUGGCUACGCCUUCACCUCUUCAAUGAUCAUAAAUGUAACCCCCCCCUGUGCAUCCUGUACCACUUUUCCAAACAUCCCUGCACCCGCCCCCCCCCCGCUGCCGAACACCGAACAGGUGGCCCUGCAGGACGCCCGCAGCCGCGCCCAGAUCGAGCUGCCCGAGGCGUCCACGCAGGCGUUGCUGCGCAUCUACCGGACCCACGCGCCCGACAAGCUGCCCUUCGUGGAGCCGCUGCUGGCCAAGCUGGCGGCGGGGCAGCCGGGCGCGCAGUAGUUUACGGUGGUAGCAGGGAGGCAGGGAGGGAGGGACAGGCUAGGAGGAAGGGGAUGCUGUGGUGGUGUUGCAGGGGGUGGUGGCAGGGACGUGAUGGGAUGGUGCAUGCGUGUAAGGAACCCCGGGGGAAGCUGGCGUGCAGGGAGGGCAGGGACAUAGCGCACGGUGGUUGACUGGGGGUGCGGGUGACUGGGGUGCUAAUGCGGGUGCGGUGCUGAGGUAGUGCCGACUCCGGAUCGCAGGCGUGACGGGGCGGUGGGGCUCCUGUGGGAAAUGAGCAGCACGGGGCCAGAAGUGCUAGUUGUGUGGAGUAGGGACAGCUGUGGGGCCGGCUCCCGGCGGCCGGGGUGCUGCACACUGAGCGGUCGGACGUGGUGUGGUCAAGCGGACGGACGGAGGCCAGUGCAGGCUGGCAACUUGGCCCCCCUCCUGACCGGGAUGGGUUCGGGGUAGCAUUUAGUGAUGGCCGGCUGCACAACUGCAGGGCGAAUAUGAGGCACGCGCUUUGGGAUGCAGGUACAGGGGAUAGCCCAGGGGAUAGCCAAAGCUGAGGCCGGGCUGACAGCGCGGUUGGGCAGCUGUAACUUGAAAGGCACGCGCUUGUGGUCGUGUGGAGAUGCGGGGUCACACUACAACUUACAAGGUGCGGACAUCCAAGAGACCCUCUGGCGGCCCCGUGCCGGCUGCAGCCAACGCAUCAAUCAGCUAGCUGGUGAAUGUGGUGAUGCCGGCCAGCAAGAAGGCACUGUCACAGCCCCUAUAUGUGAGGGCCUGCGGGGGCUGUGAGGGCCCCGUGCCCUGCGGUGGCGGCUCCUCAGUGCCAGAGAGCAGGCGCGACACCUCCGAGGCCGAGAGCCCCUAGGCGUAGUCACGAUCCGACCCGAGUCACUGCUGCCGGCCGCAGAGAGCGACAGCGGCAGCGACCGCGGGGCUGGCCCGGUCCGGCCCUCCGGCCCUCCGGCCCUCUGGCCGGCGGCCGCGGCAGCCGCGGCUCCUGGUGUGGCGGAGAAGCCGGCUGCUGCUGCUGCUGCUGCUGCUGCUGGGUGCCAGGCGCCGAGUCCGCCAGCUGUCGCCGCUCCCUUGGCUGCAUCGGACAACGCGCAGCACACGGUGGCAAGGCCCAACCGCACAACCGGCACAACUCCGUGUCCCAUCGCAUCGCUUGGCGCCGACUGCAACCGUUACCGUACGUCCAUGCCGUGCUGUCCACAAGCAAAGCUGCAAUGCCCACGCGUCGGCUGCGUCCUCGAGCACUACCGAAGGCCACGGUCGCACGCUCCCAUCAAGGGCCAUGGAGUCAUCCGGCUCUGCGCUGUGGCGGCUUCCCGUGCGUCCCCGAAGGCCGCUGCACGGACAGAGCCGAAUGCAGCGCCGGUGCAGGAGCGGCGCAGCGCAAGGUGCAGAGGUGCGUUAGCCCAAUGGGCACGCAGGUAGAGCCAGGCAGAGCUGUAGAGGAGGCUCCCGGUUGCAACUAACCGGCAGGCAACACUCCCACCAACAGCACCUGCAGUGCGAGAGUCGGGCAUGCGGCACCCAGCCAAGCAGGGCCAGGCGGUGGCCAGGACUUCCUGUAAACACCGCAGAGUUGUGCUCCUUGACCUUCCACCCGAAGCAGCCCCACCGGACCUGCCCGGAGCUGUGCCGCCCAGGGGAGUUACGCCGCCCCAGGCUUCCCGCCUCUAUCCCUUCCCUCACCGCCAUGCCGAAGCCCAACCUGGUGUCCUGGCCUUGCUCCAGGCCUUGCUCCAGGCGGCCAGACCUGAACCAACGUGAGAGACCCGCUGACACCGCGGCGUGCCUCCGGCAGCCCCGCCCGGAACGCUCACGACUGCUGGCGCGCGGCACACCGCAACGGGGGAGGAAAAUAGAACGGCGACCGGCUUAACCGGUUCAAACGUACGCGGCUUAGUGUAGCAAGAGUUGCAAGUGAAGUUACUGUUCCUACGCGCGCAACGAAAGCAAAGCGUGUAACGCUACUGAUGCAAGCGUUUCCAGGAAAAAAGAACCUUCUAGCACCUGCGGUCACCCGCGCGACAACGUUUACAGCAUCCUUCGCGCGCUGUUCCGUCGCCUGCGCACUACGUAAAAGAAAGCAUGGCAACGUUAGUAUCAACAAAAAGUGCCUGGGGCGCUGGCGGCCGCGUAAGCUGACUUCGAGUAAUUGCAGCCCCCUGAAAAUCUGCCAACGAAGCGCUGCGGUACGACGUGGCGCGGAAGCCCUUAAAACGCGCGCGUUGUCACCACUUCUUUAUCAAUCAAAAGCUUCGCAAACGCUAAACUUCCACUUGCUUCUAUCCUCACUUCUUUGCCUACUCCGCACCCGUUCGUCUUUCGGCGACCAGUCAAUCUUUGAAGGCAAGUUGCGCGCGACGUCUAUAGCCAUCGCCCGCGCCCGUAACCUGUCUAUUGUAUACCCCUGAGCGUUGAGAGGCUGGCGCCCUGGGUUCCGAGGCCCCCGCGACGCAGCCGACUUACGGACGAUUUCGCGCCGCGUUGACGCGGACCAGUCUGAUCUAGCUUCGCCCUUGUUCGCUGUGUCACUCCACAGAUGGCGUCUUCCACUAUUGUGAUGGGCGUUGCUGCCCUGGCCUUCUGCACCUGGUGAGGAGUCGAUGCGGCAAGCCUGCUUGAGUUGUCGGCCGCGUUCCUCCAGCUAUUAUCCCCUGCACCUUCAUAUCAGCAGCCUUGCCCUCUCGUUGGACGUCCUCUUUGCUUACCAGUCUUUCUCAGCCGAAAGCGCGCGCCGACAGCUGGCUGACUUGGCACCCUUUUCUCCGCCUCCCUGCCUUUGCGGUCACAGGGCCGUCUCGCUGGCCGGCCUCGCUUCCGUCCAGGAGCAGUGCACCCCUGACUGGAGCGACAUGAUUGGUGUGCGCGUGAACGGCUUCUCCACGUGAGUUAUCUCCUGCCUAGACCUGACAAGCCAUCAGCUGUGAACUUGGCCUUGUGUUUUUCGCCUGUUUGCGCUGGCCCUGUAUAGUUGCCGUUCACCAGUACCCUCUUCCCUCCACUCACCAUCGCUCCCUCUGCUGCAUGUGUACUCCUUACAGUGGCCUGGCCUGCUACACCUUCUUCCGCUACUAUUGGUUCAUCGUGAGCCUUGAGUUCGCCCUGAUUGUCGGCGUUGCCGGCGUCCUGGCCACCGGCGCCUACGCCAAGUUCCGCAACUCCUUCCUGGGCCUGAUCUGCGU
rnacentral:lncRNA from 1 species